rnacentral:rRNA from 1 species
CCUACGGGUGGCAGCAGUAGGGAAUCUUCCACAAUGGGCGAAAGCCUGAUGGAGCAACGCCGCGUGGGUGAAGAAGGUCUUCUGAGCGUAAAACCCUGUUGUUAGAAAAGAAAGUGCGUGAGAGUAACUGUUCACGUUUCGACGGUAUCUAACCAGAACGGCACGGCUAACUACGUGCCAGCAGCCGCGGUAAUACGUAGGGGGCAAGCGUUGUCCGGAUUUAGUGGGCGUAAAGGGAACGCAGGCGGUCUGUUAAGGCUGAUGUGAAAGCCUUCGGCUUAACCCGAGUAGUGCAUUUGAAACUGGGCGACUUGAGUGCAGAAGAGGAGAGCGGAACUCGAUGUGUAGCGGUGAAAUGCGUAGAUAU